GGCCCUUUAGCUCAGUGGUUAGAGCAGGCGACUCAUAAUCGUCCGGUCGCUGGUUCAAGUCCAGCAAGGGCUGCCC
rnacentral:tRNA from 1 species